GCAUUAUUAGAAGCUACAGUGGCUAACGGCUACCAGUGAAAAACAACAGAGGAAACCGGUCCGUGUUUAUCCCUGUGGUGGCAUCAGACGUCCUCCAACAAAUAUGCCCAGGACAAGUUAGUUCCCGGAGGCUGGCUCACCUCCAGAUCCAAGUACCAAAUUGUAACUCUUUGGAGAAGGGUCUUAUGGCACAGUUGCAAAAUGUGUCAGAAUAGCUGACAAAAAGACUAUACCCAUUAAAAUAAUGAAACAUGAGAACCCAAAAGACCCGUUAAAAAACCAAGAGAUCGCAAGAGCUCUUAGUCACCUCAACUCUACUGGAACAAUACACGCAGACCUGAAAUUAGAAAAUGUAAUGUUGGUGAAACAUCAACAAGAGCCAUACUGAAUUAAAGUAAUUGACUUCGGCCCGGCCUGUGAAACCUCAGCUGCCAAAGAUCCGUCCUUACCAGUCUCUAGAGAUUAUUCUGGAGCUUCUGUUUACAGAAGUCGUAGAUGUAUGGUCUCUGGGUACAUCUACGGCUGGGUACAUCUGAGUUACAUAAUGGAGACCCAAGGGCAACCCCGAGAGAAAAAGCUAGACUGUGGGCAAAACACCGCCCAUUUUUUCUGCAGAGAGUUAAAUUCCUGCAACAACUACCACUGACACUUGAGCAAUAUUUCCAAGUGUCUGGGGUUUGGUUCAUGGAGACAAGAGAAAUAAAGUUCUCUGGAUGACCUCUUCUAUAUCACUGAGCAUCAGGAUUAUGCAAAUAAAACUGCUGAAAUGUUUGAUUUCCUGAUGUUUGUUGAAAUGGUGAAAAACUUGCUUCAUCUCCAUCCCGAAAAACGGAUGACACCCCGUCAGGUGCGGGACCAUCCCUUUGCAAGAAUGCACCACCUUGCAUGCUUGCACCA